rnacentral:lncRNA from 1 species
ACUCUCGGGGAACAGCACACGCACGCACACACACGGCAAAAAUGAAGGAAAAGGCAAUGUUUCAAACGGCUAAAAUGCAAGGAAACAUGAUGGUGCUCGAAUGUUUGGAAACUGCCAAGAGAAACCAUGGUGGAUGUGUCAGAUUUCUGCUUUACUCUGAUGAAAAAUGUAUGAAUAGGGCAAAAGAGACAGCUUGGGUUCAUUGAGAGGAUUUGCAGAAGAGUCUGGAGAUUUAGAUUUUCAGUUUGACCAUUUAAAUUCCAACUCUCAUAGCUACAGUUUUGAUGUACAUAUGAAAAACCCAAAUAAAAAUAAGCCCAGUGGCAACUGUUAUCUCCUCAGAAGUCCGCUAGCACCUCUGAGGCCUCGGAGACCUCAAGGGUACAACUGACAUGAAGACUAAGCUACUCUGUCACCCCAGGAGUGCUCCUGCUCUUCCUUGAGAAACACAACUCUGGUACCUCUCAGGAGCAAUAAAUUCUUACUGAAAUAAAUAAGACCUUGGUGUUCCAUUGUGAUUUUCCUUAUUUGGCAUAAUUUACCUACAGGUGUGUUUCUUGCAGUGCUCAAUCACAUGGCACUGAAACAUGGUGAAAUUCUUCUCAGCCAAGAAUGCAGUUGUCCUAACAUGGGCUAAAGAAGCUGUGUAAAGAUUAAUUUUUCUUGAAACUCCCACACUGAAGUACAUGGUGGAGUUUGUGACCCAGUGCAGGUCCCUGCUACUUUAGCCUUCCCUCUGUCUUAUAUUCAGCUUGACUUAGAAGCCAAAUGCAAUCCAGAUUUUGUGUACUGUUCCUUAGUUGUCUACUACCUCAGCUGAAACACAGGGAGCUCCAGAACUGAAAGCAAGGAAACCGAGGUAGUUCCCAGGUGAGCUGUCAUGAGUUCAGCUGGAGUUUAAAGCCAGGCAGGAAUUCAAUUGCUGAUACUACAGCAAGAAUUGCAGCAAAAAAAUCGUUGGGACUGAGGCUGCUUAGUGAAAGGUGAGUUGUGUUUUGAGGACUGUAACAUUCUGGUAUCGUUUCUGGGUCAGGCAUGAAAGGGAACAAGGGUUCGCUUUUGUAAGGAUGAUAUGUGCAGCAGGCAUACAAUCCAUAGGAGGUGCUGGAAUUGCUGCAUUGUGGGAAAGCUGUAAGAUAUGCUGAGGCUGUUCUAAUGUCGUGUUGCUAGCUGGUGGAAAUUAGGAGCCUUUUUACAUUUGAGGUGGGAUGGUAGAGAGCUCCACAAGCUUUGCAGGAUCCUAAUAUUGUCCAUGCAAUAUAGUGUGCUUUUAGAUACAUCCUUACUUAGGGUAUAGAGAAAUGCAAAGCCUGGAAUUAUAAGGGAUCCACUAAAGCUGCAGGACCUGUGAGAAAUACAUGGUGCCAAGCUGUCUCAGAAUAACUUUGGGAGCCGUGGGAAGCACUCCACAUCUCUGGCUUGCUACUUAGUGCUAUGAAAUUGAAGGAGGACAUGUGGUCUGACUUUAAUUUUCACUGUCAGAAGGGUUCAAAAUCUUGAAUUUGAUGGUGCUCCUCACACCUGCAUCUUUUUCUUCAGUAUUCCUCAGCAGCUUCCCUGGUUCCUCUUACUUGCAAGGAAAAAGGUGCACUUUGUGCUAAUUUCUCCCUUCCUCCUCUGAGCUGUCUGACUAUUCACAGGACAGUCUAUCCCCUCCCUCUCUUUCUGUAUCUUUUCACUGCUUUGCCAACAGUAAAAGGAGAAGUAGAAGGGACUGUUAUGAUUUUAGUGAAUGACAGCUGAGUGGGUGGCUGUAGAGCCUUGAGCAGCAACAGAGCCACAGAGCUGUCUGUGCAGCUGGGAAGACAGCAUUGCAUUCAUCUCUAUUUGAGAGGUUACAUUUGUUCAUUAAUGAAGUCUGGACUUGCUUAAGAUAAAUACCUAAAAUGUAAGUAUUGUAGAUGUUG